UGCCGAACUCAGCAGUGAAACCGCUUAGCGCCGAUGGUAGUGUGGGGUCUCCCCAUGCGAGAGUAGGUCAUCGUCAGGC
rnacentral:rRNA from 1 species